GAUGAACGCUAGCGGCAGGCUUAAUACAUGCAAGUCGUGGGGCAGCAGGUUUGUAGCAAUACAGAUGCUGGCGACCGGCAAACGGGUGCGGAACACGUACGCAACCUCCCUCUAACUGGAAGAUAGCCCACCGAAAGGUGGAUUAAUACUCCAUAACAUAUUGAAAAGGCAUCUUUUUGAUAUUAAAGCUCCGGCGGUUAGAGAUGGGCGUGCGUCUGAUUAGGUAGUUGGCGGGGUAACGGCCCACCAAGCCUGCGAUCAGUAGCUGAUGUGAGAGCAUGAUCAGCCACACGGGCACUGAGACACGGGCCCGACUCCUACGGGAGGCAGCAGUAAGGAAUAUUGGUCAAUGGACGCAAGUCUGAACCAGCCAUGCCGCGUGGAGGAUGAAGGUCCUCUGGAUUGUAAACUUCUUUUCUCUGGGACGAAACCCCCGAUUUCCAUCGGGCCUGACGGUACCAGAGGAAUAAGCACCGGCUAACUCCGUGCCAGCAGCCGCCGUAAAAC
rnacentral:rRNA from 1 species